rnacentral:tRNA from 1 species
GGCUUUAUAGUUAAUAUAUGAUUUUGGAUUGCAAAUCUAAAGUAGAACAUUUAAGUUGUUCUAAGGCUU